rnacentral:rRNA from 1 species
CCUACGGGUGGCAGCAGUGGGGAAUAUUGCACAAUGGGGGAAACCCUGAUGCAGCGACGCCGCGUGAGCGAUGAAGUAUUUCGGUAUGUAAAGCUCUAUCAGCAGUGAAGAACAUGACGGUACCUGACUCAGAAGCCCCGUCUCACUACGUGCUAGCAGCCGCGGUAAUACGUAGGGGGCCAGCGUUAUCCGUAUUUACUGGGUUUAAAGGGAGCGUAGACGGCGAUGCAAGACAGCGGUGAAAGGCCGGGGCUCAACCCCGGGACUGCAUUUGCAACUGGAUAGCUGGAGUGUCGGAGAGGCAGGCGGAAUUCCUAGUGUAGCGGUGAAAUGCGUAGAUAUUAGGAGGAACACCAGUGGCGAAGGCGGCCUGCUGGACGAUGACUGACGUUGAGGCUCGAAAGCGUGGGGAGCAAACAGGAUUAGAUACCCUAGUAGUC